rnacentral:sRNA from 1 species
AAAAAAAAAAAAAAAUGCUUAUUAAGUGGCAGUGGUAGCUAUGAUGCUAUAGAUGCUUCCCUAGCCCUAGCCCAGCCCCUCCUAAAUAGGGAGACCCAAGAUUCUGUAGCUUCUGGCCCAAUCCCUCAUGGCCCCAGAGCACUGCUGGACCUCCUGACCCUUUGUCUCCCUAGACAGCACCCAAGAAAACCUCAUUUGGCUCGCUGAAGGAUGAAGACCGGAUUUUCACCAACCUGUACGGCCGCCAUGACUGGAGGUGAGACAGUGCCCUUAGUGUGUUGGGUCCGGGAGCAAGGUGUCCCCUUCAUUGCCUUCCCUAUUCUGUCCAGGCUGAAAGGUUCCCUGAGUCGAGGUGACUGGUACAAGACAAAGGAGAUCCUGCUGAAGGGGCCCGACUGGAUCCUGGGCGAGAUCAAGACAUCGGGUUUGCGGGGCCGUGGAGGCGCUGGCUUCCCCACUGGCCUCAAGUGGAGCUUCAUGAAUAAGCCCUCAGAUGGCAGGCCCAAGUAUCUGGUGGUGAACGCAGACGAGGGGGAGCCGGGCACCUGCAAGGACCGGGAGAUCUUACGCCAUGAUCCUCACAAGCUGGUGGAAGGCUGCCUGGUGGGGGGCCGGGCCAUGGGCGCCCGCGCCGCCUAUAUCUACAUCCGAGGGGAAUUCUACAAUGAGGCCUCCAAUCUGCAGGUGGGCAGGGAGAGAUGUGGACAGAUGAGAAGGUGUUCAGUGUGCACUCACACACCCCUCACCCAGCACAGUUGUUCUGAGGUGUUAGUACCUGGUCUGUCAGUGGUUGAACUGGGGGAGUGGUGGCCAGUCCUGCAUGCAUCCCAAAUGGGACUUGGCUCCCAAAGCCUCCUUCCAGGGCUCCUAAUGCUGCUGGUGUAAAUUUUUUUUUUUUUGCU